AAUUCAAGCCAAAAAUUACAAAACAUCCUUUUCCCUCUGACCAAGUGCUUGGUUCGGAGACCAUCCCCUUCCCACGUCGGUGAUCUCAGUGCCUGCCCUCCCCUUCCUUCCGCGGAACCCCUCCCUGAGCAGCGGCAAGCACUGGCUUCCCAAGGAGAGAUGAUGGAUCCGUGGUAGCAGGUGGUGCAAACGGCGGCGAGAAACGACCCUGGGGACCCCAGUCCGAGAGGAGGCUGACCUGGAUGGCUCCCUUGCAUUUGUGACCAGAGGCCACUAGCAGGAAAUCAGAGCCACGGAAGAGAGUGAUAUGAGGUGCUUAUUCUCCCUGCUCCUCUGCGGCGGGCCAAAUGUGUCCCCUGACUGCAGGCCACAGCUCCUGUCAGACGGCCGUCUGUCUCCACACAGCUUCUGUCCCCCUAACCCUUGAGGCCUGGGGUGGUGCCGGAGUCUCCCCCACCGGUCAGCUCUGUGAAACGGACACUCUGAGGUCUCUCAAACUCUACUCAGACCUUCGUCUACAGUCCCUUGAUCAAACACUCAAAUUGGAGAGGGUCCUGACUGAUACACGUGGGUGGCUUUAUUCAUUACAGAAUGAAAAAUCUAUAUGAAAGGAAGGUGAAAUUUAGGAAGAUGGUGUAUGAGUUUCUUGUGGUUGCUACAAGAAAUGACCACAUAUUCAGUCGCUUCAAACAGCAGAAAUGUAUUCUUUCACCGGUCUGGAGAUCAGAAGUCCAGAAUCAGUGUCACUGGGCAGAAAUCGAGGUCUCAACGGGGCCAUGCUCCUCCAAAGGCUGUAGGAGAGAAUCUGCGCUUCGACUUCUUCAGCUUCUGGUGGCUGCCACUAUUCCACAGCUUGUGGGCACAUCACUUCAGUAUCUGCCUCUGUGGUCGCAUUGCCUGUUCCUCUUCUGUGUGUGAAAUCUUCCUCUUCGUCCCUUUGAUAAGGACUCUUGUGAUUGCAUUCAGGGCCCACCCAGAUAAUCCAAGAUAAUCUGUCCGUUUCAAGAUCCUUAAUUCCAUUUGCCAAUAAAAUAACAUUUUUCUAAGUAAGGUCACAUUUAUAGGUUCCAGGGAGUGGGACCUGAUAUCUUUGGGGUCAUUGUUCAGCUUACUACAGAGAGUGACAGAGGCACUGAUGGAUCCCUUCAGAACAAUUUUAUUUUAAGAUUUUAUUUAUUUAUUUACUUACUUAUUUGAGAGAGAGUGAGCAAGCAAGAGAGACAGAGAGAGAACAAGCAGGGGGGAGGGGCAGAGGGAGAAGCAGACUCCCCACUGAGCAGGGAGCCCGACGUGGGGCUCGAUCCCAGGACCCUGGGAUCAUGACCUGAGCUGAAGUCAGAUGCUUAACCCACUGAGCCAUCCAGGAGCCCCUAUUUUUGCAUUUCACAUUUAGGUCUGUGAUUGAAUUUGAAUUAAUUCUCUGAAGGGUAUAAGGUCCAGUUGUUCCAGCACCAUAUGUCGAAAACACUAUCUUUUUUGUUUGCUUGUUUGUUUUGUGUGUGUGUCUAUUUUUUUUUAGAUUUUAACUAUUUUAUUGGGUUAAUGUAUUUUAUUUUAUUUUUUAAUUUUUUAUUAACAUAUAAUGUAUUAUUUGUUUCAGAGGUACAGGUCUGUGAUUCAUCAGUCUUACACAAUUCACAGCGCUCACCAUAGUACAUACCCUCCCCAAUGUCCAUCACCCAGCCACCCCAUCCCUCCCACCCCCUCCACUCCAGCAACCCUCAGUUUGUUUCCUGAGAUUUAGAGUCUCUUAAUGGCUUGCCUCCCUCUCUGGUUUCGUCUUGUUUCAUUUUUCCCUCCUUUCCCCUAUGAUCCUCUGUCUUGUUUCUCAAAAUCCUCGUAUCAGUGAGAUUAUAUGAUACUUAUCUUCAUCUGAUUGACUUAUUUCGCUUAGCAUAAUACCCUCUAGUUCCAUCCACAUCAUUGCAAAUGGCAAGAUUUCAUUUUUUUGAGGCUGCAUAAUAUUCCAUUGUAUAUAUAUAUACAACAUCUUCUUUAUGCAUUCAUCUGUUGAUGGACAUCUUGGCUCUUUACAUAGUUUGGCUAUUGUGGACAUUGCUGCUACAAACAUUGGGGUGCACGUGCCCCUCCAGAUCACUACAUUUGUAUCUUUGGGGUAAACACCCAGUAGAGCAAUUGCUGGGUCAUAGGGUAGCUCUAUUUUCAACUUUUUGAGGAAACUCCAUACUGUUUUCUAGAGUGGCUGCACCAGCUUGCAUUCCCACCAACAGUGUAGGAGGGUUCCCUUUUCUCUGCAUCCUUGCCAACAUCUGUCGUUUCCUGACUUGUUAAUUUUAGUCAUCAUGACUGGUGUGAGGUCGUAUCUCAUUGUGGUUUUGAUUUGUAUUUCCCUAAUGGCUAGUGAUGUUGAACACUUUUUCAUGUGUCUGUUGGCCAUUUGGAUGUCUUCUUUGCAGAAAUGUCUGUUCACAUCUUCUGCCCAUUUCUUGAUUGGAUUAGUUGUUCUUUGGGUGUUGAGUUUGAUAAGUCCUUUAUAGAUUUUGGAUACUAGCCCUUUAUCUGAUCUGUCAUUUGCAAAUAUCUUCUCCCAUUCUGUCAGUUGUCUUUUGGUUUUGUUGAUUGUUUCCUUUGCUGUGCAAAAGCUUUUUAUCUUGAUGAAGUCCCAAUAGUUCAUUUUUGCCCUUGCUUCCCUUGCCUUGGACGAUGUAUCUAGGAAGAAGUUGCUGCAGCUGAGGUCGAAGAGGUUGCUGCCUGUGUUCUCCUCAAGGAUUUUGAUGGAUUCCUGUCUCACAUUGAGGUCUUUCAUCCAUUUUUUUUUUAAGAUUUUAUUUAUUUAUUUGAGAGAGAGAGAGAAUGAGAGACAGACAGCAUGAGAGGAGGAGGGUCAGAGGGAGAAGCAGACUCCCUGCCAAGCAGGGAGCCUGAUGCGGGACUCGAUCCCGGGACUCCAGGAUCAUGACCUGAGCCGAAGGCAGUCGCUUAACCAACUGAGCCACCCAGGCGCCCUCUUUCAUCCAUUUUGAGUGUAUUUUUGUGCAUGGUGUAAGGAAAUGGUUCAGUUUCAUUCUUCUGCAUGUGGCUGUCCAAUUUUCCCAACACCAUUUGUUGAAGAGACUGUCUUUUUUCCAUUGGACAUUCUUUCCUGCUUUGUCAAAGAUUAGUUGACCAUAGAGUUGAGGGUCCAUUUCUGGGCUCUCUAUUCUGUUCCAUUGAUCUAUGUGUCUGUUUUUGUGCCAGUACGAUACUGUCUUGAUGAUGACAGCUUUGUAAUAGAGCUGGAAGUCCGGAAUUGUGAUGCUGCCAGCUUUGCUUUUCUUUUUCAACAUUCCUCUGGCUAUGUGGGGUCUUUUCUGGUCCCAUACAAAUUUUAGGAUUAUUUGUUCCAUUUCUUUGAAAAAGUUGAUGGUAUUUUGAUAGGGAUUGCAUUAAAUGUGUAGAUUGCUCAAGGUAGCAUGGACAUCUUCACAAUAUUUGUUCUUCCAAUCCAUGAGCAUGGAACAUUUUUCCAUUUCUUUGUGUCUUCCUCAAUUUCUUUCAUGAGUAUUCUAUAGUUUUCUGAGUACAGAUUCUUUGCCUCUUUGGUUAGAUGUAUUCCUAGGUAUCUUGUGGUUUGGGGUGCAGUUGUAAAUAGGAUCGACUCCUUAAUUUCUCUUUCUUCUGUCUUGUUGUUGGUGUAUAGAAAUGCCACUGAUUUCUGUGCAUUGAUUUUAUAUCCUGCCACUUUACUGAAUUCCUAUAUGAGUUCUAGCAGUUUUGGGGUGGAGUCUUUUGGGUUUUCCACAUAAAGUAUCAUAUCAUCUGCAAAGAGUGAGAGUUUGACUUCUUCUUUGCCAAUUUGGAUGCCUUUUAUUUCUUUUUGUUGGAAAAGACUAUCUUUGCUCCAUUGUCUUGCCUUUGCUCCUUUGACUGAACGUAUAUGGGUCUAUUUGUAGAUGGGUCUAUUUCUGUGCUCUCUGUUCUGUUCCAUUGAUUUAUUUGUCCAUUCUUUCACCAGUACCACACUGUCUUGAGUACUGUAGCUUUAUAGUAAGUCUUGAAGUUGGGUAGUGUCAGUCCUACAAUUUAGUUCCUGUCCUUCAAAAUUGUGUUGACCAUUCUGGGUCUUUUUCCUCUCCAUUUAAACUUUAGAAUCAAUUUCUCAAUAUCCAAAUUAUUUCCAUGGUGGUUCUGCUUAUGAAUCUCUGUUCUGGUAAGCAAUGACUUUCUGUACUCACCUGUCGGUCUCUCCAGUCUUGGGUGGAGUGGUUUGUCUGAUGUCAAUCCCUCUCCUACAGAUCCAAGAAGAGUUGUUGAUUUUUCAGUCUGUUCAGCUUUUUACUUGCUGUUAGGACAGAGUAGUAACUUUCAAGCCCUUUUUAUGCAGUACCAGAAACCUCCAGAAAAAAUCUGAUGGCAUGCAUUUAUUGAUACCUCUAUGUUUGACAAAAGCAUUGCUCAAUCAUUGGGAGACACAUAUUGCUGAAGAUGCCUUUCAGCCCCUAGACUCUAAUUCCCUUAUCUUUGGGCCUGGCUGCUGGAUAGCACUGUGACGUUCCUGUUCUGAAGCCGGUUGUGUCAUCAGCAGGCAAAACUUUGUGGGAAACAAAAUGGUGGCAGAUGUGAUGGGGACACACAAGUUGUGGAAAGGCUCAGCCUAGGGACAUUUAGUAUGUGGAAGUCAUUUGACUCAAGGAGUUAAAACCUAGAGCACAAAAACUGAAAGAAUUUACCUACCUCCAUCACCUUCUUUCACAGAUGAGGGAAAUGAGACCUGGAGAGAAUUUCCCUACCCACAGCUGGCGAAUGACAGAUCCAGGACUAAACUAGAGGUCAUAGGACUCAGUCUAAGGACUUCUCCACUAUGCCACCUUCUCACCUUCUUCUCACAUUUUCUCACCAACUGCCCUCCUUCUGGGCAAUCUUUGAGUAUUCUUUGUAGGAUUUCUACCGAGUCGUUUGCUCAAAGUUGGUUGGCAGCAGGAAUGAACUAAAUAUUGAGUCUGUUAUGACACAGAAUAAGAAAACAAUGCUAAGAAUUGUGGCUGAGAUCAGUGCUAUUCAGAGAGGCAGUCCACAACAAGAUGAAGAGCUGGUGUCAGACUAGAAACCAACACACAGCUUCCUUCAUUGAGAAGGUCUUGCUGUGAAAAACAAACCAGCUGAACUGAACAGUGUCCUUAGUGAUGUGGACGGUUUACAGUCUGCCACAAGCUCCUUAUCUCAUCACAGACCAGUGUGAUGACCACUGGCAGAGGACAGCAGUAAAAGCAUGGCUUCACUGCUGCUUAAGCCAACCUAUCCCCCAAAUAGGUCAUGUUGAUGGACAAAGACAUCAGAGAAGGCAAUAGUUCUUUUGUCCAGAAUGUAUUUCAUCGGUAGAGUCCAGAUCUGGGGCCAUUUUUAAGGAGGAUAAUGACAUUCCAGACAUCAUCCAACAAUGCCUGACUUAUAGAGCAUAAAUUUUGUGCGGAUAAAAGAGAAGCUGUUUUAAAAGUGCUUACUUACCACAGCGCACAGUAUAUGAUAAAGCACUAAAUAAAUAAAUAAAUACAUACAUAACUUUAUUACUACCGUAUCAUCAUCCGGUACCAGAGGCCUAUGUUAAGUGAGAAACAUGUGAAGAAUCUAGAGGUUUCCAGCUCGAAGUAAAGAAAACUUGGAGGCAUGCAAGUCCAUAUGUUCAAAGAACGAUCAUGUCGAAGAAAGCAGACCAAUUUUUUCAUUUGUUCAUUCAACUAAUAAAUCUCCUUGAGUGUUCUCUGUAUUUCCAGACUGUUUUCUAGGUACUUGCGAAGAUUGCUGUGGGCAAGAAUCAUGAGGUUCUGGGCCUCAUGUGGGGGUGGUUAUAAGACGAUACAUAAAAAUAAAAAUAAUUUCAGAAGAAACCAAGACAAGAUAAGACAAUAGGGUUGGGGAUUAGGAGAUGCCUCUUCAGACUGAGUAGUUGGAAGCACCCUCACUGAGGCGGUGAUGUUUGAGUUGAGUCCUGAAUGACAAUAAAGGCAGCCACAUGAAGAUCUAGGGUAGGAGGGAUUCCAGGCAGAGGAUCAUCAAACAUCACUCAAGGUGGUAAAGACUCUUGGCAGGCAGAUGUUAGCUAAAUAUAAGAAAGUUAGUUUUAACAAUAUAAGGGAGUGUUUUUAAAAACAACCUUUUCAGGGCGCCUGGGUGGCUCAGUCAUUAAGUGUCUGCCUUCAGCUCAGGUCAUGAUCCCGGGGUCCUGGGAUCGAGCCCCGCAUCAGGCUCCCUGCUCGGCAGGAAGCCUGCUUCUCCCUCUCCCACUCCCUAUGCUGGUGUUCCCUCUCUGUCUGUGUCUCUCUCUGUCAAAGAAAUAAAUAAAAUCUUUUAAAAAAACCAAACAACCUUUUCAUUUUACAACAGUUUUAGAUUUACAGAAAAAUUAUGAAGAUAGUAUAGAGUGUUCCAACAUAACCCACAUACAGAAUCCCCUGUAAUUAACAUUUAAUAUUUGUGUGGUACAUAUAUCACAAUUAAUGAACCAAUAUUGAUACAUUAUUAUUAACUGAAGUCCAUACUUUAUUUAAUUUCUUUAGUUUUUACCUAAUGUCCUCUUUCUGUUCCAGAUCCCACCCUGGGUGCCUUAUUGCAUUUAGUAGUUAUAACUCCUCUGGUUACUUUUAGUUUGACAGUUUCUCAGAUUUCCUUGUUUUUGACAACCUGGAAAGUUUUGAGGACCGUUGAUCCUGUAUUUUGUAAAAUGUCUCAAUUGGAAUUUGUUUUAUGUUGUUCUCACAAUUAUACUGUGGUUAUGGGUUCUUAGAAGGAAAACCACAGAAGUAAAGUACUGUUUCCUUGCAUCAUAUCAAGGAUACAUACUGUCUGGGAUGCCUGGGUGGCUCAGUUGGUUAAGCGUCUGCCUUCAGCUCAGGUCAUAAUCCCAGGGUCCUGGGAUUGAGUCCUGCAUCAGCUCCUUGCUCAGCGGGAAGCCUGCUUCUCCCUCUGCCUGCCGCUCCCCCUGCUUGUGUGCUCCCUCUCUCUCUCUGGCAAAUAAAUAAAUAAAUAAAAUCUUUAAAAAAAAAAAAAGGACACAUACUGUCAACAUGACUUAUCACGACUGGUGUUUACCUUGAUCACAUGGCUGAAGCAGUGUUUGUCGGAUUUCUCCACUGUAAAGUGACUCUUUUUUCCUCUUUCCAUACGGUACUCUUUGGAAGGAAGCCACUAUGCACCACCCAUGCUUAAGGAGUGGAGAGUUAAGCAUUCCCUCAUUGAGAUUGGAGUAUCUACACAAGUUAUUUGGAAUUUUUCUUCAUGGAACAUUUGUCUCUUCAUUCAUUUAUUUGUUAAAUCAUUUACUUAUAUUGUAGAAACUUAUGUGUAAUUAUUUCAUACUUCAGGUUAUAAUCCAACACUAAUUUGUUAUUUCAUUUCUCAACUUGUUCCAACUUUGGCCAUCGGGAACUCUUUCAGUUGGCUUCUGUGUCCCUAUGUUAUACCUCUAUCAGUGUGGGUUUUGAUGUUGUGUUUGUUUCUUUCUUGAGCACUUUUUUACUUUCUGGCACUGUAUGAAGCUCCAGGAUCACCUUGUAUAUUUCUUGCCCCAGUCCUAGAAUCACCCAUUUCUCCAAGUAGUCCUAGUUCCUUUUAUUGGAGAAAGGAAUUGAAAACCAAGCUCUGGGUGCUAUAUAUGCUUAUUGCUACUGAGGAGCUGUUGAUUUUAUGCCCUGUCAGCUGAUAGAGCAAGAUAUAUGUGUGUAUACUAACCUGGGUAUAUACACAUAUUUAUAAAUAUUUCUAUAUGUAACCAUCUGAAUCUUUAUGGAACAAAACAUGGAUUCAUAUUGAUGUCUCCAACUCUGAUUUAUUACCACAUGGCUCUUUCUAGACCUCCCUUUGCUUACCUGUAACUUCUCACUUCAGCCAAGAAAGCUGGCUCCCACCAUCUGCCAUCCAUUUACUUCAUCGUUCAAUUGCAAUAUACAUGUAUAGUGUUAUUAGAAUUGUGAACGUGUGCUCCUGUGGGAAACAACUUUAUCAGCCAGAAUACAGUGCUUAUGUGUAGUUUAAUGGCCAUUAGUCUUACAGACUCCACCUGUUCCCAGAGUUACUUAGGUCAGCACCUUCCCCCCAACCCCUUCAAGUACAGGUGUUUCGUAUAUUUGUAAUACAGUUAGAUUGUUUUGUUAGUCUGCAUUCCAUCCUGGAAUCCCCUCACCUCCUAAGUGAUUCUUUUUUAAUGCAUUACAUUAAGGUUCACUUUUUGUGCUGUAAAAUUCUAUGGGUUUGACAAACGUGUAGUGUCAUGUUUCCACCAUUACAGUAUCGUAAAGAAUAGUUUAUGCCCAGGCUGGCUCAGUCAGUAGAGCAUGCAACUCUUAGUUUCAGGGUCAUGAGUUUAAGCCCCACGUUGUGGGUAGAGUUUACUUAAUUUAAAAAAAAAAAAAAAAAAAAUAUAUAUAUAUAUAUAUAUAUAUAUAUAAAAGGAAUAGCUCAUGCUCUAAAAAAAAUUCCCUGUGCUUCAUGUAUUAAGGCUUACUGAGGUGUAACACUUGGACAGGAGAGAAAGCAAGAUUGGGCAGGAGAGCCUUCAGACUGUAGUUCUGACUAAGUCUCUGCCAGGCCAAUGAAGAGCUCCAAAGCAAACAUUAUCCACUAAGAGGAGUGCCCUGUUGGGCAGAAAUGGUCAGGUCUUUAUGCCACCACUUUGCUCAGCCUUUGGCUGGGGACUCCCAGAGAAGAUUGAAAAGCUGAGGCGGACCCUGAAGGCACUAACAGCUGGAGGUUAUCAGUUAACCACAUUCCUUGAAGCUGGGUUGCUAAGUCCUUUCUUGGAAAGGGAUCUGAGUGCUGCAAUUCUUCGCCUGCCAAAAAUAUCUCUGAAUAUUGCAAGCAGAGGUUGGCUGACCAUUGGUCACAAUUCUCAAUCAGAGGAAUUCUGAAUCAGGUGGGAUUUGGAAUCAGAUGAUCCCGUUGGCCCCUUUUAGCUCUUCGGCCCUAUGACUGUCCUCAGUAUGCUUUGACCAGGCAAUCCAGGUAUUAUGUUUCUCACAUUCAUUCCACUUUGCUCAAGCCUCUGUUUCCCUUCUUGCAAUGACCGUCUCAUGCCCUGUUCAGUCCUUGUGGUAGGAUCAGUCCCUUCCUCCCAGGGACUAUUCAUGGAGGGGCAGAGGACCCAAAUGAUGGAGUCUAUAGCUUCCACUUAUGCCGCCCACACCUUUUGGAUCCCAGAUGCUCAAAAAAUGGUUAUAGUAUCAAUAGCCAUGUGGAUCACGGAGUUGAAUACAGAUAAAAAAUAACUUGUGAGCCCAGGCAAGAAAGUUGAAAAAUUCAAAACUAAGGCUACCCAAAGCAAAUCCUGGUCUGAUACCACCCCUCCCUGGAGCACGGAAAAAGGUCAACAAGAGCACUCCCUGCUGAUCAGUGCACAUACUACAUCUGGUAAGGUGUCAUAUUUUUAUUUUCUUCCAUCCUAACUCCCAUGGGUAGCCCUGGAUUUUCACCUGCAGGUUCAGAAUCAUUGCAGUGCAAUUCUGGUCUUUCUCUGUUGGAAUGUGGAAGACUUUGAGACUGCUUGAGGAAAGGGUGACUCUGAGGUUUGGUUCCACCUGCACUUAAUCUUUGUAUUUAUCUUGCUUAUGGUGAAAAGCCUGUUUUAUUCUUGUAACUUGGCAGCUCUGGCUGGCUCACAAAUGUCCUAAGGUAAAUAAUUAAGGUCCUGACAUGCCCUCUAAGGACAGUCUUAUCUUUUAAGCCAAAAAACAUUUUACAUUUACUUUGUCUGUCUUUAGAGAUUUCCUUUGAAUGUCUGCUUCUGCUUUGCAACAUUCUUAGGCUCCACACAGCCUGCUGAUUUGCCCAGCCAGAAAACGAUAGUGUUUUGUUUUGUUUUUAUAUUUAUGCUGUUAUUUUGAUUCAAUGAACCAUCAUAUUGAUUUUUUAAUUCCAAAUUUAAUGCUCUCAAGUUUGAGCACUUCCUUGAACCUAGCCCUCAGGACUCUUGCCAACUUUCUGUUUUUUCUACCUGCUUUUUCAUUUCUUGGUGCAAUGACUAACGUUGGAGCCUGCUGGGUCAGAGAGUAGAAAUACAAUAUACUCUCCCUAUUCUCCAACCCUCAGCACCAGGCAGUGGGUUGGAAUCCAUGUUUAAGCACCAAAGGUUGGGGCGCCUGGCUGGUUCUGUUGGUAGAGCAUGCAACUCUUGACCUCAGGGUUGUGAGCUUGAGCCCCAUGUUAGAUGUAGAGAUUACUUAAAAAUAAAUACCCAAAGGCUGCUCUAGGUCUCUACCCCUGAGUUAGAUGAGACCCAAAAAAGUACCAAGAGUUAAUGUUCCAAGAAGACACUUGAGGUUACUGAGGAUGUUUGAAUUAUAGGCAGGUUCUGUCUCUGAAGACAAGGCCAGGGCACAAAAAAUAUCCUGCUUUAAAAACAAAAUCAAUAGAAAUCAAUCAAUCGAUCAAUCAAUAGAAAGCACACAAAAGAUAUCGUCCCGGAACCAUUAUGUAGGAAUAGAAAUGACAAGUAAAUGAAAUAAAAAACCAAAGAAGUUUUGUUGUUGUUGUUUUAAAUGCUUUCAUUGCUCUCCUGGAGAAUACAGACUGAAAUUGUGGACUUGGCAGCCGUUCCCACAGUAGGAGGGCAGAAUCACAGGUCUGAAGCACAGGAUUUCUUCUGGAAACUGCCCACUUAUUAUGGAUGACGGUUGUAUCACCUUAAAUGAGGGGAACAAAGACUGUGUGUGUGGGUGUGUGUGUGCGCGCGCCAGAAGUCAGCUUCACUAGCACAAAGUGUAACACAACAGUCAUACACAGAGUGGUGGAACCGUAGAGGAAUUUCUGAGAAUUAGCCUUAGGCAGGAGGCGUUUGGCUGGAAACUUGCACUGAAAAGCUACCUUGUAAAUAAGCAUGUGACUUUCACCUGACUUAAUUUUUUUCAGUCCUAAGGGCUCCAGUCAGAGCAAAGGUCCUGGUCUGGGUUGCUGGCAUGUUCACUCUUCAGGGUAAACUGAGAAUAAAUUCAAAGACAAAUCACCAAAGGCAGCGCCAUGACAAUAAUGUGAGGCGGAAUUAGGGUCAACAGGGUCAUUGUGAGGCUGACGGCUGGUCUCAGGCAACUCUCAAGUUCUGCAACACUUUUGCCAAGAUGAAUUCAGAGUAAGAUAGACAUCAAGGUAGGUGUCUGGGUGUAUCUGCUGAAUGAAUGAGUGAAUGAAUGAAUGAAUGCAUAAAUGAAUGAAUCACUCAGGGCAGGACUGAGGGAGAAGAGAAUGGAAACAUUCAAUUGGAGAAAGUUUAUUUGGAAUAGAGCAUAGAUUUGCAUGGGUGGAAUGAUGGCUGGGGGUAGAUUUUAUGGACACAUUCAGCAGGAACUAUACUUCAGCCCUGGGAUGUAUUAGGGUUAGGGUUUGUUUUUUUUUUUUAAGAUUUUAUUAAUUUAUUUGAGAGAGAGAAAGAGAUCAGGGGAGGAGCGAGGGAGGAGUACAAGCAGAAACUGCGCUGAGCGUGGAGCCCUUCUCGGAGCUCGAUCUCACAACCCUGAGAUCAUGACUUGAGAUGACACCAAGAAUUGGACGCUUAAGCGACUAAGCCACCCAGGUGCCCCUAAUUUAUACACACUCUUUAUCUAAAGAGUAGGUGGGAUGAUUGCUGGCAGGGUCACUCAGUAAUACCAUUCUUCCAGUACAGAUGGUUCAACUACAAGAUAAUAGGACGUUUUUUCUCCGUAAUUUAAUGACCAUAAUAUAAUCAGGAUUUGCUUUGGCUGAGUUUUUCAGAAAUCCAAAAUAAUAGUGGUUAAGCAAUAUGUAAGUUUAUUUUUUCUUUCACAUAAAAGGUCUGUAGGGCAGACUUAGGGGCUCCAUGGUGUCAUGGAUCCAGGCUCCUUCAACCUCAAGAAGUAUGGCUGCAUGAACUGAGCUAUCCCAUCUACAUUCCAGCCGGCAGGGGAAAGAAAGAGCCAAAAAGGGCUCACCAUCUAUCUUAGUCUUUUUGGGCUGCUAUAACAAAAUACCACAGAAUGUGUAGCUUAUACAUGUAUUUCUCACAGUUUUGGAGGCUGAAAGUCCAAGAUCAGUGUGCCAGCAAAGAUGAGGGCUCUCUUCCAGGUUCAUAGCCAGUGCUUUCUAGCUAUUGUCCUCAAAUGGGGGAAGGGGCAAGGAAUCUCUCUGGAGCCUCUUUUAUAAGGGCACCAAUCUCAUUCAUGAGGGCUCCACCCUCAUGAUUUAAGCCCUCCCCAAAUGUUCCAUCUCCUAAUACCAUCACUCUUGGGGAUUAUUCAACACAUGAAUUUGAGGGAGACACAAACAUUCAGCCCAUAGUACCUCCCAUUAAUGAUACUUCAUAUAAGUUGAACUUGGCACUUUUAUUUUUAUCCCAUUGACCAAAACUUAGUUACAUGGCCAGUCUGGGAAAUGUAGCUAUUAUCCAUAAUAGCUAAAAGUCAGGAUUUUUUUUGUUUGUUUUACUAAGAGAGAAGAGAAAAACAGAUAUUAUGGAAUAUUAGUCUCUGUCACCUUAAGAUAUUACAGACUUAGUGCAAUUAUGCUUCCAUUGCUCAAUGCCCUUAAAAUUGUCUUCAGGGCACAUACCAAAUUAUUCUCAGUAUUCUAGAUGAGUCUUUAUCCUGUGGAGGUGGAUUUGAUUUUUGAAACUGGGGUCACUCAGGACAACUGUGAUGAGUAAGGUGGGUGAUAAAGCAUAAAAAUAAUAUACAGGCUUCUACCUCUGGAUAUUAUGGACCAUUCUGGGUAUUGUGACAAUUCUUGCAGAAAAUAACUCUAAAACCUGGACAUCAUAUGUAAAGUGACUACCGGAAGGUACUGAAGAGGAAAUGGAAGUAGAUUCUGGUGUGGUAUGAGCUUGAGUAAUUUUGGUUGCUCUACCUUAAGGUUUAUUAUUCUUUCAUUUAACACAUCCAUUUGGUAGUUAAGUCAAUCUGUUGAAUUUUUUUCAGAAAUUGCACUUUUCAUCUCUAGAUGAAGAAGUACAUUAUUAACUUUAAAUGGGCUAUGGAAAGUUAAGGAUGUAUUUUAUAAUUUAUAGGUCAACCGCUGAAAUAAAAAUGUAAACACUGUAGCUAAAAAGCCAUCAAUAAAACAAAAAUGGAAUAAUUUAUAAAAUAUUAAAGUAAUAUUUUUUAAAAGGCAGGAAAUGGGAAAUGGAGAAGUAAAUGUCAGGAGAGAAAAGUAGAAAACAAAAAUAUAAAAUGAUAGAACCACGGCACCUGGGUGGCUCAGUGAGUUAAGCACCUGCCUUUGGCUCAAGUCACGAUCCCAGGGUCCUGGGGUCAAGCCCCGAGUUGGGCUCCCUGCUCAGCCAAGAGUCUGCUUCUCCCUCUGCCUGCCACUCUCCUGCUUGUACACUCUCUCUCUCUCUUUCUCUCUCUCUGUCAAAUAAAUAAAAUCUUUAAAAUAAAAUGAUAGAACCCAACCCAACCAUAUCAGUAAUUACAUUAAAUGUUUAUAACCUAAACACUCCAAUCAAAAGACUAAAAUUGAUGAUUAUUUUUAAAUGGAUUAAAAAGCCAAAUGUAACACCUCAGUGAAAAAGAUAUAUAUAGGGGUACCUAGGUGGCUCAGUCGGUUGAGCAUCUGCCCUUGGCUCAGGUCAUGAUCCCAGGGUCCUGGGAUUGAGCCCCGCAUUGGGCUCCCUGCUCAGUGGGGAGUCUGCUUCUCCCUCUCCCUCUCUCUCUGUGUCAAAUAAAUAAAUAAAAUCAUAUAUAUAUAUAUAUGGCAAAUAAACAUAUGAAAGAUGUGCCACAUCAUGUGUCAUCAGGAGUCUACAAAUUAAAACAAAGGGAUACGACUGCUCACCUAUUACAAUGGCAAAGAUUCAGACACUAGUGACACUAAAUACUGGUGAGGAUGUGGAUAACAGGAACUCUCAU